rnacentral:rRNA from 1 species
UGGAUCCAGACUUUGAUUAUGGCUCAGGAUGAACGCUGGCGGCGUGCCUAACACAUGCAAGUCGAACGAAGCUUUUUGUGGAAUUCUUCGGAAUGAAGCAAGAAUGACUUAGUGGCGGACGGGUGAGUAAUGCGUGAGCAACCUGCCUUUCAGAGGGGGAUAACAGUUGGAAACGACUGCUAAUACCGCAUAACGUGCAGAUAUCGCAUGGUAUUUGUACCAAAACUGAGGUGCUGAAAGAUGGGCUCACGUCCGAUUAGAUAGUUGGUGAGGUAACGGCUCACCAAGUUGACGAUCGGUAGCCGGACUGAGAGGUUGAACGGCCACAUUGGGACUGAGACACGGCCCAGACUCCUACGGGAGGCAGCAGUGGGGAAUAUUGCACAAUGGGCGAAAGCCUGAUGCAGCAACGCCGCGUGAGGGAAGACGGUCUUCGGAUUGUAAACCUUUGUCUUUAGUGAAGAAGAAAGUGACGGUAGCUAAAGAGGAAGCCACGGCUAACUACGUGCCAGCAGCCGCGGUAAUACGUAGGUGGCGAGCGUUAUCCGGAAUUACUGGGUGUAAAGGGAGCGCAGGCGGGACAGCAAGUUGGAUGUGAAAUACCGCAGCUCAACUGCGGAGCUGCAUCCAAAACUGUAGUUCUUGAGUGAAGUAGAGGUAGGCGGAAUUCCGAGUGUAGCGGUGAAAUGCGUAGAUAUUCGGAGGAACACCGGUGGCGAAGGCGGCCUACUGGGCUUUUACUGACGCUGAGGCUCGAAAGUGUGGGGAGCAAACAGGAUUAGAUACCCUGGUAGUCCACACUGUAAACGAUGAUUGCUAGGUGUGGGGAGUAUUGACCCUUUCCGUGCCGGAGUUAACGCAAUAAGCAAUCCACCUGGGGAGUACGGCCGCAAGGUUGCAACUCAAAGGAAUUGACGGA